rnacentral:rRNA from 1 species
GACGAACGCUGGCGGCGUGCCUAAUACAUGCAAGUUGAGCGCUGAAGGUUGGUACUUGUACCGACUGGAUGAGCAGCGAACGGGUGAGUAACGCGUGGGGAAUCUGCCUUUGAGCGGGGGACAACAUUUGGAAACGAAUGCUAAUACCGCAUAAAAACUUUAAACACAAGUUUUAAGUUUGAAAGAUGCAAUUGCAUCACUCAAAGAUGAUCCCGCGUUGUAUUAGCUAGUUGGUGAGGUAAAGGCUCACCAAGGCGAUGAUACAUAGCCGACCUGAGAGGGUGAUCGGCCACAUUGGGACUGAGACACGGCCCAAACUCCUACGGGAGGUAGCAGUAGGGAAUCUUCGGCAAUGGACGAAAGUCUGACCGAGCAACGCCGCGUGAGUGAAGAAGGUUUUCGGAUCGUAAAACUCUGUUGGUAGAGAAGAGCGUUGGUGAGAGUGGAAAGCUCAUCAAGUGACGGUAACUACCCAGAAAGGGACGGCUAACUACGUGCCAGCCGCCGCGGUAA